rnacentral:rRNA from 1 species
GAUGAACGCUAGCGGCAGGCCUAAUACAUGCAAGUCGAACGGUGGGUAGCAAUACUCAUAGUGGCGCACGGGUGCGUAACACGUAACUAACCUACCCAGCACUGGGGGAUAGCCCGCCGAAAGGCGGAUUAAUACCGCAUAAGAUAGCAGAGGGGCAUCCCUUAGUUAUUAAAGAUUUAUUGGUGUUGGAUGGGGUUGCGGGUCAUUAGCUAGUUGGUUGGGUAAUGGCUGACCAAGGCGACGAUGACUAGGGGAGCUGAGAGGCUGGUCCCCCACACGGGCACUGAGAUACGGGCCCGACUCCUACGGGAGGCAGCAGUAGGGAAUAUUGGGCAAUGGGCGAGAGCCUGACCCAGCCAUGCCGCGUGCAGGAAGAAGGCUUUUCUGAGUCGUAAACUGCUUUUUGACAGGGAAGAAUAAGCGCUACGUGUAGCGUGAUGACGGUACCUGCAGAAUAAGCACCGGCUAACUCCGUGCCAGCC